rnacentral:rRNA from 1 species
GUGCCAGCAGCCGCGGUAAGACAGAGGUUGCAAACGUUGUUCGGAAUUACUGGGCAUAAAGCGCACGUAGGUGGUCCGCUAAGUCGUGUGUGAAAUGCCCCGGCUCAACCGGGGAAUUGCGCACGAUACUGGCGGGCUAGAGGUCGGGAGGGGUGAGUGGAACUCCAGGUGGAGCGGUGAAAUGCGUAGAUAUCUGGAGGAACACCGGUGGCGAAAGCGGCUCACUGGCCCGAAUCUGACACUGAGGUGCGAAAGCUAGGGUAGCAAACGGGAUUAGAUACCCGUGUAGUCC